rnacentral:misc_RNA from 1 species
GUGGGAAUUUUUCCUUCAACUCCAUUAACGGAUAAAUCAAUUAUCCUUAGUUGGGAGCAGUGGCUCAAGUUGCUGGGAAGUUUUCCUUUUAGUGUGUUGUUGUUGAGAAGGAGUAGUUGCAGUCGAGAGAGAUUAACAACUUCUUGCGGAAUUUGGCCAUGGAAACUGUUGUUUUGGAGGUCAAGGAUCCUAAGAAAACUCAGGUUGCCAACGUAAGGUGAUAUGGAUCCCAUCAAGUUUUGCCCUUUUAAAACCAAAGAAGUGACUCUCUGAUGGCGGGGACUGCAUGUGAUUCCAAACCAGCUACAGAAAUGGAAAGAAUCGUUCCAGGAGUUGAAGACCCUUCCUGUAGGAUCACUGGUUAUC